ACUCAGAUCCCUGCAGCAGAGGCUGGAACAUCCCAUGUUCCUCCAGGAGCAGGUGACAGCGGAGAUGCAGCAGCUUCUCCCUUGUGUCGGGACUCUCGGCGCCAGGUGAGUGAGGGUAGGGUCAGACGCUUUGUGAGGAAACACCUGGGCAAGGCUGUGACUGUCAUCCAGGGAACAAGGCAACAGCAGGUGGAAGAGCCAGACGUGGCACUAAGGUUGGAUGUGGAGUCACCGUCACUGUCGCCUGCUGUAGUUCAGGACAGCGAGAACCAGCCAGGCAUUGCCACUCUUCCAGACCCAGGAGCAGCCCCACGGCGACGACUCCAUCGCUUCAGGAGAGUGCUGAGGGCUCUGCGCAAGUCUUUCCGUUUCUCCUGCUUCACCCCACGUGUGCAGGAGUAGCGCCCUGCUGACAGCACCAGGCCCAAGGGAGCUGUGCCGAGGAUGUCGUGCUGCAGCCUGCACUUGUUGUGGCUGCUUUCUUGGGCC